CUCUCUCUCGCCCUCUUGCUCUCCUAAUCCUAGAGUUCGGUUGUUGACCAAAAAAGAAAAAAAAAAAAAAAAAUCCCAGAGUUCGGUAGUUGACAAGUGUUCUGCACAUGUUCGGUGCUUCAAGAUUUACGUUUGUUUUGUCUCCACCUGCACCAUCUCCAUUUCUCAGAGAGCCUUCUUCUCUGCUUCUAUGGAAUUUACCAGCGAAAGAAACCUGAAGAGAAACAGAAAGCUCUGCCUUCUGGUUUGAGAGAGAGAGAUGCUCUGCUCCAGCAGACUCUUGGCCGUUUCUUUCCCCGUAAAUCGGUGCAGUCCGUACGAACUGCAUAGCGCCGGCUGCUCCAAAUUCAGUUACCAAAGAAGCCCCAUAUCAACAAGCAGCUCCAGAUGGCGAUCCCUGGCCAUGGCUUCGGAGCCCGACACCUCCUCUUUCGCUCCGUCUGUCGAUUCUGAUCCCAAUCCCUCCGCCGAUACAAGCCCCGCCGGAUUUUGUAUCAUAGAGGGGCCUGAAACAGUGCAGGACUUUGCCACAAUGGAGCUGCAGGAAAUUCAAGAUAAUAUUCGGAGUCGGCGCAACAAAAUUUUCUUGCAUAUGGAGGAGGUUCGCAGGCUGAGGAUACAACAGCGGAUUAAACGCGCAGAGCUUGGAGCGGUAAAUGAAGAUCAAGAAAACGAACUUCCUAGUUUUCCAUCAUUCAUUCCCUUUUUGCCUCCCCUGAGUUCAGACAACCUUAAGCUGUAUUAUGCUUUUUGUUAUUCAAUUAUUGCGGGGUUUAUCCUUUUUGGUGGCCUCAUAGCUCCCUCCUUGGAGUUGAAGUUGGGAAUAGGAGGCACAUCGUAUAAAGAUUUUAUAGUAAAUAUGCAUCUGCCAUUGCAGUUGAGUCAAGUUGAUCCCGUAGUGGCGUCGUUCUCUGGAGGAGCAGUCGGAGUGAUCUCAGCAUUGAUGGUAGUUGAAAUAAACAAUGUGAAACAGCAGGAGCAUAAGCGAUGCAAAUAUUGUCUUGGAACUGGAUAUCUUGCUUGUGCUCGUUGCUCCAGCACUGGAACCCUUGUUCUUACCGAACCAGUUUCAACAGUUGAUGGCGGAAACCAGCCCCUUUCACUGCCAAAAACUGAAAGAUGUUCAAAUUGCUCAGGAGCGGGAAAGGUAAUGUGCCCGACAUGCCUUUGCACGGGAAUGGCGAUGGCAAGUGAACACGACCCUCGGAUCGACCCCUUUGAUUAGAAGCGCAACGCCAUCGUUAGUCGUUCCCUUACCACUUACAAUCUUCUCUCUCUCUCUCUCUUUUGAUGCAAAUGCAAUACGUACAUCCUUUCAUAAGUCGUGACAUGAACAAGGAACUUCUGUGUAUAUCAACUGUUCAAGAAUUUGACCAGACAUCUGAAUGCGAUUCAAAUAUUUCCUUUC